UUCCCCUACCUUCAGACAACCUUUCCUGAUCCACAGCAGUCGCAGUGCCAGCUAACUGCACAGGCAGGAUGGUCCAUACUCAACCUCACAUACACAUACAUGGGGUACGUACGCAUGUACACUAUAACACUUAAACAUACAUACAACACAUAACUACGCAGACAUGCAGUGCAGUCUUAACUAAAACAAGUUUAGCUGUGUAUUCCAUGAAUAAAUAGUUAUGUGGGAUUGUAUGGGAACAAGCCUUUUUGAUGCAGUAAAUAAUCUUUUUAGUUCACCUAGCAACAAUGUAUGGAUUGUGACCCCUUAAAAUCUAUAAAUCAAAAGGGGCUUUUUGUUUUUUUGGAUAUUUUUGAGCCCUGAAGUAGAGUUAAUCUGUUAUUUCAUAGAAAAUGAUUUUGUGUUGCAGAAAGUUUAUCUUGUGACCAUUUGUGGGAUCCUAAUUCCCAGGUUUGGGAUCCCUGUGCUAAAAGGAAUCUACAUAGGGAUUUAUGAGCUAUGGAAAACAUGUAAUAAUGUAUGCAUAUGGUAAACACGCAGUACUAACUUUUUCAGCAUGAUACUGGUUAUUUGUGUUCAUUUUGCAGUUGUUCAUAUUUCAUCUUAGAAGUCAGACAAUUAUGUGAGUAAUGCUUUCUCAUAGAGCCACUAUCCAAACCAAAGAACCACUACAGAGGACCAAUUUACAUAAGCACACAUUUGCAUAUAUACAUGAAUGUAAACAACCAUAUACAGUACAUGUUGGACUUCCUCACAAGCAUCCACGUUUCCAUGUGACAACGCACCAAAGCAGGAAGAAAUCUUACAUCAGAUCCAGCCGAAGGCCUCAAACUCAUUCUCAGUGAAACUCCUGUGCUCCAUUGAAGAGGCAGAGCUGUCAGAGUGGGUGGCAUAACCAAGCUGACAGCCUGCUGUGGGCUGCUGCUCUUUAUUCGCCAGACAGAGAUCAGCAAUUUUCAAUUUCCUCCUUGCCGCACGCUUAAGCCCACACACUACCGAGACACUCUUCAACAACAAAGGCCAACUUCUUUGACUGAGAAAGAUGACUAACAAUUGGACCGAGUGGUGGAUUAUCCAAUCGGAACUGCUGUUGCUGGUGGGUGGUCUGUCUCUUUUCAUACUCCUCUUUCCUUGGCUCUAAGUUUUGACCAAUCCCCUGCCAGAUGGGGUCACUAAAGUCUCACCACCAGCACCCCUAUUGGUCGGGGUUGUUCACUGGGUAGUGGUGCUGAGAGGAGAACAAUGAAUGACAUCAAUAACACGACUUGCCAGGCCUAUGCUGUGUGUACGGUGUAUGCUGGCUGCCUCUGUCUCCCUUCUCUGUGCGCCAGUUCUCCGCCUGAAAGGAAUCUCAGGCUUUCAAGGCUCUUUUUGUGAAGCGCUCAUCAAAGCCUCCGCAAACACUAUACUGCUGUUUUUGAAGUCAAUAUCCCACUCUUACUUUGGAUGAGAUAUACUGGUCAUAGUUCUGUGGCUCUCUCUCGUCAUUAUUUAAAUUAUAUGUAUGUGCUCCAAUGCAAAUGAGCCUUUGUUUUCCUGAAGAAGGUAACCAAUUUAUUUAAAUUGACCAUUAUGAUUAAUUUCCAUAACUGGCAUUCUCUCUCUCUCUUUGCUCUCUCUUUCCCCCCCUUUCUUUGAGAUCUUUGUGUUUCCUUUGUACUGUACUGAAACCUUCAGGAAUAAAGGGGAAACCAGUUUGACCUUCAUGGAAACCCUUGAAGGAUGGACUAAACAUUUAUGAGAUGUCUGUGAGGAGGUUCCCGCAUCUUAUUAUUUACCAUGAGAAACUUCAAACAAACAUAUAUAAAAGCAUAUUUAAAAAGUAAAGAAAAAUUCUGAAGAAAAGAAAUUCGAUAUAGCUGUUGACUGCUUUGAAGGAUUAAAUUGUGGGACAUUUAGGAUAAAUUA